GGCCCAUGUAUUAGUUAUUUAUUGCUGCAUAAUAAAUAACCCUAAAAUUUAGUGGCUCAAAACCACGGUCAUUUGUUAUCUCGCAGUUUCUCCAGGUCAGGAAUCCAGGAGCAGCUCAGCUGGAUGGUUCUGGCUCAGGAUCUCUCAUGAAGCCGGAAUUAGAUAUUGGCUGUGGCUGUGGUCAUCUAAAGGCCUGACGUGGGCUGGCGGCAUCUUUACUACCUGGCUAUUGGCGGGAGGCAGCGUUGCUCACCACGUGGACUCCUCCACGGGGCUGCUUGAGUGUUCUCACAACGUGGCAGCUGGCUUCCCCCCCCGCCCCCCCCAGCAGGCGAUCCAAAAGACAGCAAGGCAGAAGCCGCAGCAUCUUUAUGACGCAGCCCCAGAAGUCAGGCAUCGUCAUUUCCUCAACGUCCUAUUGGUCAUUGGGCGAGCCCUUUUCAGUGUGGGAGGGGCCAUGCAAAGGCGUGAAAAUCAGGAGACGAGAUGCCUGGGGGCCACGUUGGAGGCUGGCUGUGACAGUACUCUUUUCAGUUCCAUUUGCAGAUGAGCCAUCCUGGUGGGUGGGAAGUGGUGUCUCACCGUGGUUUCCAUUGGCAGUUCCCUGGUGACUAAUGAUGUGGAGCGUCUAACUACAGCACUUUGACGACCAAUGUUAACAAAUCCCUUAAGCAAAAGGCCUUUGUCUUCCAGAAAGAGAAACGAGACUCUCCAAGGUGCCUGUUAGGCACUGAAUGUUGGUGUCCCCACCCACCCCACCUCCCCACUCAAAUUCCUAUGUUGAAAUCCUACCGCCCGCCAUGAUGCCGUUAGGAGGUGAGGCCUUUGGGAGAUGAUUAGGUCAUGAGAGUGGAGCCCCCAUGAAGGGGAUCAGUGCCCUUAUAAAGGAGACUUCAGAGAUCUCCCUGGUCCCUUCCGCCAUGUGAGGACACAGCAAGAAGAUGCCCAUCUGCAAACCAGGAAGAGCAUCCUC
rnacentral:lncRNA from 1 species